rnacentral:lncRNA from 1 species
UUAGAAAUCAUCACUUGCGCAUAUAUAUAGUUCUUCUUUCAUGUUGAUUAUCCUUGAGCCUGACUUGCUUCACAAGUAAUGUAUUGACCGAGUAUCAUGCCCUUGCCCUGCUUCACAAGAUAGAAAUUCUAUUAAUGUUGUGGCCAUGCCCUGCUUACAAGGUGUAAAUUAACCAAGCUUAGUGGGUUACCACACUAAGAAUACAUGCGAUUUUGAUUAAGUUCAAUCUUUACGCAGAUCAUUUAUGGGGCGAUUACACUCGGCUUCUUUGUCAAAUUAUGUGACAUUUGACAAUGAUAUGGGUUUAUUAUGUUUGACAAAUUUGAGUACUCUGGUGUUUGGUUGCACGACUCCUACUGAUGUAAACCAUUGUUCUAAUGUCUCUGUGUACUACAACUCAACUAUGACCUUUACUAUAAAACAUUAAUGAAAGAUGUCGAUAUGUACAGCUUUUUCCAAUAUCAAAACCCGUGGAAGACGAACUAUCGGAUAGGGUUGGACUAGGAGAAAAUGAUUGGAUCAGCUAUCUCUAUAUAAAAUUAAGAGAUUAUAUAUUUCUAUGCUGUUGGAGGGUUCUCGGUGGUGAUGAUGAUCUAAUUUGAUGUGUCGGCAACACUAACAUAUGAUUUGUGAAUUUGAGUACAUCGGCUUAAUCAUGUUAAAAGCUGAAUUACUUACUUGAUCAAGGACAUGAUGAUACCCAAAAUAAGAAUUGGUUUGUAUUGGAGUCACAUGUCAAAGAGAUGAGGGUAACAUAAUCAUUGAAUGUAGAACCGAACAUCGUCAAUCAUGAUGGGAGGAUCAAUCUAAUUCACGUGGUCUGAAUCAAAA